rnacentral:lncRNA from 1 species
GGCGAUUGACUUAUAAUGGUAACAGUAAAAGGGAGAGUGGAUGAAUCUAAUAGACUAUUGGUUGGUACUAAAAAUUAAAAUCAUGGGAGGGGACUGGGCUAGUGUAGCGCUGUCUGUCAGUGUUGUCUGUGUGCUGCAACAGUCGCCAUCGCAAACUGCACAAACUGAACAAGCUACAUGCAGAUGCAUAUAUAGAUACAUACAUGGAUACGUACAUGUAACAUGUUACAAGUUGAGUUUAGAAAACUAAAUUGUCGGUGUUCUCAUCUCAAUCUGUAAGCCCUGGGCUUGUAGCUAACCUUGCCUGCUGUCUGUAUUGUUUUGUUUAUCAGAAAAUCCAAAGGCCCAAAGCUCACAAAAAAAUCCAACGCAUUAAAAAUAGUGGAUAAAAUUAAUAAAUCUGCAAGUGAUAUUUGUUAUAUAUUAUUCAUCAUCUGCAGACAACGUGCGUUCUUAUAUUUCUAUACAUAUAUAUACACACAACAGGAUGAGAUCGUGGCCGCACCGCACAUAUUCUGCCAGGAAUUGUUAUCCAGAUGAAGGAAGAACCACCUACCUCCUCCGUACUAUAAGUAGCUCAACGUGUUCAUUAUGAACAUACAAUCACAAUCACAUCCCAAUUCCCAGAAGAGUCCCUUUCACCUAUUUAUUACUUUAAAAAUCACUG